AUUGAACGCUGGCGGCAGGCUUAACACAUGCAAGUCGAGCGGGGGAAGGUAGCUUGCUACCGGACCUAGCGGCGGACGGGUGAGUAAUGCUUAGGAAUCUGCCUAUUAGUGGGGGACAACAUCUCGAAAGGGAUGCUAAUACCGCAUACGUCCUACGGGAGAAAGCAGGGGAUCUUCGGACCUUGCGCUAAUAGAUGAGCCUAGGUCGGAUUAGCUAGUUGGUGGGGUAAAGGCCUACCAAGGCGACGAUCUGUAGCGGGUCUGAGAGGAUGAUCCGCCACACUGGGACUGAGACACGGCCCAGGCUCCUACGGGAGGCAGCAGUGGGGAAUCUUGGACAAUGGGCGGAAGCCUGAUCCAGCCAUGCCGCGUGUGUGAAGAAGGCCUUUUGGUUGUAAAGCACUUUAAGCGAGGAGGAGGCUACUAGUAUUAAUACUACUGGAUAGUGGACGUUACUCGCAGAAUAAGCACCGGCUAACUCUGUGCCAGCCGCCGCAGUAA
rnacentral:rRNA from 1 species